AAGUCGUAACAAGGUCUCCGUAGGUGAACCUGCGGAGGGAUCAUUACUGAGUUAGGGAGCAAUCCCGAACCUCCAACCCUUUGUGAACACAUCUUGUUGCUUCAGGGGCGACCCUGCCGUUUCGACGGCAUUCCCCCGGAGGUCAUCAAAACACUGCAUUCUUACGUCGGAGUAUAAAGUUAAUUUAAUAAAA
rnacentral:misc_RNA from 1 species